rnacentral:tRNA from 1 species
GGGGAUGUAGCUCAGUGGUAGAGCAUUUGUCUGGCUUGUGUAAAGCUCUGGAUUCCAUCCCUA